UUGAGUGCAGAAGAGGAGAGUGGAAUUCCACGUGUAGCGGUGAAAUGCGUAGAGAUGUGGAGGAACACCAGUGGCGAAGGCGACUCUCUGGUCUGUAACUGACGCUGAGGAGCGAAAGCGUGGGGAGCGAACAGGAUUAGAUACCCUGGUAGUCCACGCCGUAAACGAUGAGUGCUAAGUGUUAGGGGGUUUCCGCCCCUUAGUGCUGCAGCUAACGCAUUAAGCACUCCGCCUGGGGAGUACGGUCGCAAGACUGAAACUCAAAGGAAUUGACGGGGGCCCGCACAAGCGGUGGAGCAUGUGGUUUAAUUCGAAGCAACGCGAAGAACCUUACCAGGUCUUGACAUCCUCUGACAAUCCUAGAGAUAGGACGUCCCCUUCGGGGGCAGAGUGACAGGUGGUGCAUGGUUGUCGUCAGCUCGUGUCGUGAGAUGUUGGGUUAAGUCCCGCAACGAGCGCAACCCUUGAUUUUAGUUGCCAGCAUUCAGUUGGGCACUCUAAGGUGACUGCCGGUGACAAACCGGAGGAAGGUGGGGAUGACGUCAAAUCAUCAUGCCCCUUAUGACCUGGGCUACACACGUGCUACAAUGGACAGAACAAAGGGCAGCGAAACCGCGAGGUUAAGCCAAUCCCACAAAUCUGUUCUCAGUUCGGAUCGCAGUCUGCAACUCGACUGCGUGAAGCUGGAAUCGCU
rnacentral:rRNA from 1 species